GGGAGGGGGGGCAAGCGUUAUUCGGAUUUACUGGGCGUAAAGCGCACGUAGGUGGCAUGGUAAGUCAAAGGUGAAAGCCCUCGGCUCAACCGAGGAACUGCCUUUGAAACUGUUUUGCUUGAGUCCGGGAGGGGGAGCGGAAUUCCCAGUGUAGCGGUGAAAUGCGUAGAUACUGGGAGGAACACCGGUGGCGAAGGCGGCUCCCUGGACCGGUACUGACACUGAGGUGCGAAAGCGUGGGUAGCAAACAGGAUUAGAUACCCUGGUAGUCCACGCCGUAAACGAUGGGCACUAGGUGCAGCGGGUGUCGACCCCUGCUGUGCCGUAGUUAACGCAUUAAGUGCCCCGCCUGGGGAGUACGGUCGCAAAGGCUGA
rnacentral:rRNA from 1 species